AAACCAACAGGGAUUGCCUCAGUAGCGGCGAGUGAAGCGGCAAAAGCUCAAAUUUGAAAUCUGGCUCUUUCAGAGUCCGAGUUGUAAUUUGAAGAGGGUAUCUUUGGGCCUGGCUCUUGUCUAUGUUUCUUGGAACAGAACGUCACAGAGGGUGAGAAUCCCGUGCGAUGAGAUGACCCAGGUCCGUGUAAAGUUCCCUCGACGAGUCGAGUUGUUUGGGAAUGCAGCUCUAAGUGGGUGGUAAAUUCCAUCUAAAGCUAAAUAUUGGCGAGAGACCGAUAGCGAACAAGUACAGUGAUGGAAAGAUGAAAAGAACUUUGAAAAGAGAGUGAAAAAGUACGUGAAAUUGUUGAAAGGGAAGGGCUUGAGAUCAGACUUGGUAUUUUGCAUGUUGCUUCUUCGGGGGCGGCCUCUGCGGCUUACCGGGCCAGCAUCAGUUUGGGCGGUCGGACAAUCGCGCGGGAACGUGGCACGGCCUCGGCCGUGUGUUAUAGCCCGUGUGGAUACUGCCAGCCUAGACUGAGGACGCGGUUUUAUACCUAGGAUGUUGGCAUAAUGAUCUUAAGUCGC
rnacentral:rRNA from 1 species